UGCGGCUCCCCGCGUGGCGCCAUCCAGGCCAACUCCCCCAGGUCGGAGACGAAGCAAGGGCAACCGGGCUCUGGCGGGUGCGCGGGGAGUCCUUCGC
rfam:Agrococcus carbonis strain DSM 22965 genome assembly, chromosome: I